GUUUGAUCCUGGCUCAGAUUAAACGCUGGCGGCAUGCUUUACACAUGCAAGUCGAACGGCAGCACGGGGGCAACCCUGGUGGCGAGUGGCGAACGGGUGAGUAAAGCAUCGGAACGUGCCCUGGAGUGGGGGAUAACGUAGCGAAAGUUACGCUAAUACCGCAUAUUCUGUGAGCAGGAAAGCAGGGGAUCGCAAGACCUUGCGCUCUGGGAGCGGCCGAUGUCGGAUUAGGUAGUUGGUGGGGUAAAGGCCUACCAAGGCGACGAUCCGUAGCGGGUCUGAGAGGAUGAUCCGCCACACUGGGACUGAGACACGGCCCAGACUCCUACGGGAGGCAGCAGUGGGGAAUUUUGGACAAUGGGCGCAAGCCUGAUCCAGCCAUGCCGCGUGAGUGAAGAAGGCCUUCGGGUUGUAAAAGCUCUUUCGGUGGGGAAGAAAUUGCAUGGGUUAAUACCCUGUGUAGAUGACGGUACCUAAAGAAGAAGCACCGGCUAACUACGUGCCAGCAGUCGCGGUAAUACGUAGGGUGCGAGCGUUAAUCGGAAUUACUGGGCGUAAAGCGUGCGCAGGCGGUUUGGUAAGUCAGAUGUGAAAUUCCCGGGUUCAACCUGGGAACUGCAUUUGAGACUGCCAAGCUGGAGUUUGGCAGAGGGGGGUGGAAUUCCACGUGUAGCAGUGAAAUGCGUAGAGAUGUGGAGGAACACCGAUGGCGAAGGCAGCCCCCUGGGCCAAUACUGACGCUCAUGCACGAAAGCGUGGGGAGCAAACAGGAUUAGAUACCCUGGUAGUCCACGCCCUAAACGAUGUCAACUAGGUGUUGGGAGGGUUAAACCUUUUAGUGCCGUAGCUAACGCGUGAGGUUGACCGCCUGGGGAGUACGGCCGCAAGGCUAAAACUCAAAGGAAUUGACGGGGACCCGCACAAGCGGUGGAUGAUGUGGAUUAAUUUGAUGCAAUGUGAAAAAUCUUACCUACCCUUGAUAUGUCAGGAAUCCUGGAGAGAUCUGGGAGUGCUCGAAAGAGAGCCUGAACACAGGUGCUGCAUGGCUGUCGUCAGCUCGUGUUGUGAGAUGUUGGGUUAAGUCCCGCAACGAGCGCAACCCUUGUCAUUAAUUGCCAUCAUUUAGUUGGGCACUUUAAUGAGACUGCCGGUGAUAAACCGGAGGAAGGUGGGGAUGACGUCAAGUCCUCAUGGCCCUUAUGGGUAGGGCUUCACACGUCAUACAAUGGUCGGUUCAGAGGGUUGCCAACCUGUGAGGGGGAGUCAAUCUCAGAAAGCCGAUCGUAGUCCGGAUCGCAGUCUGUAAUUCGACUGCGUGAAGUCGGAAUCGCUAGUAAUCGCGGAUUAGUAUGUUGCGGUGAAUACGUUCCCGGGUCUUGUACACACCGCCCGUCACACCAUGGGAGCGGGUUCUGCCAGAAGUAGUUAGCCUAACCGCAAGGAGGGCGAUUACCACGGCAGGGUUCGUGACUGGGGUGAAGUCGAAAUAAGGUA
rnacentral:rRNA from 1 species